AUGAGAGAGAGAAAUAAGGUGAAAAAUUGGGCAGAUAGGCAGCGAACCUGAAACCUGAGAGGUACCUCACAGUGAAGCUGGCCACGAAACCAAUGUGCGCUCCGUCUGGACAAUUUUUUUUUUCCGAUACAAGUGUGGACAAGAUAUCUAAGACUAUAUGUUUUUAGGGUAUCUAAAAUAAUACUCCCUCCGUCCGAAUUACUUGUCGAUGAGAUAAAUAUAUCUGGAUAUAUUUUAUUUCUAAAUACAUCCAUUUUUAUUCAUUUUUGUGACAAGUAUUUUCGAACGGAGGGAGUAUGUAGUAGUUUGCUUUCCGUACCGCUUGCCUUCAGUAGCACUUGGGCUGGCCCAGUGGUAUAGCGUACCAUUUUCUUAUCUUCAAGCGAUUUUCCUAUUGCGUAUUCUAUUGGUUUUAUUUUUAUUUUGUUUUACCAACUUGUUCUUUAUUUGUAAGUUUAUUUACUUCCAUAUUGAGAAUUUAUUGUGUAUUUUAUUUUCUUUUUUCAUUAUUUUGUACCUUGAAGUAAGCAUGAACUUUUUCCAGACUUUGUGUGGAUUUUAAAUACAUGUAUGCAUUAAAGUGCUGCGAAAUAUUCCUUCAUGCAACUUGAAUGAGAGCUCAGUCUAUAGCAGAAUAGCAAAAUCAGUGAACAUGUAAAAAGGAUUACAGUACAAUGGAGAACUCGGGUAUUAUUAUAUGUCCCCUUUCAUUUUUCAUUUUCUAAUGGAGUAUGUUAUCUUGUGUGUUUUGCCAUGUUUAUACGCAGUCCUUCAGUCGCUUUCUGGACCACCUUUCCAUAGCUGUUAUCCAAAAUGAGUGAAUGGGCCAAUCUGCAUUCAGGUCUUGAAAGGGAGUUCGGGCCUUGUGUGACUGCAGAUCAUGCAAAAUUUGCAGAGCCAGCAAGCUUUGCUGUGCGCGCACAGCUUCAGGCAAGAAAUUCGGAUCAGAAACGGGAGGCGGAGACACGCCAAGGCCUGAAGUAGCUGGAGGCGCCGCGUCGUCAGCGACAUACGACAUGACGAGCCCGAUGGAUGGGCCUCGCCGGUUCGCCCUGUCGACUUGCUGCCUCACCCUGUCCAUCCCGGGCAGGGCCGGCAAGGCUGUUGUCGACGAGCCUGCCAGGUGCCAGCAAGCAGAGCAGCAGGACUAGCGGCAGGCUGGAGAGCUCCAUGGCCGUGGCUGGCAUAAAACUUGGAAGCACGAUGAGGGGAUGGAGCAGUUUAAUUACCUCCGCGUUGAGUGGUGAGCGUGAUGAUGUGCUCUAAUUGUUUAUACAUGGAUAUGGUUGAAGAUGUCUCUGUCAGGGGAUUUGGGUUAUCAAGCAAAAUCCGUGUUGAAUUUUGUACCGGGGAAAACAUGGCAAUACAGAGGAGGAUUGUUUGUUGUUUU